rnacentral:rRNA from 1 species
UAGGGAAUCUUCGGCAAUGGGGGGAACCCUGACCGAGCAACGCCGCGUGAGUGAAGAAGGUUUUCGGAUCGUAAAGCUCUGUUGUUAAGGAAGAACGAGUGUGAGAAUGGAAAGUUCAUACUGUGACGGUACUUAACCAGAAAGGAACGGCUAACUACGUGCCAGCAGCCGCGGUAAUACGUAGGUCCCGAGCGUUGUCCGGAUUUAUUGGGCGUAAAGCGAGCGCAGGCGGUUAGAUAAGUCUGAAGUUAAAGGCAGUGGCUCAACCAUUGUAGGCUUUGGAAACUGUUUAACUUGAGUGCAGAAGGGGGGAGUGGAAUUCCAUGUGUAGCGGUGAAAUGCGUAGAUAUAUGGAGGAACACCGGUGGCGAAAGCGGCUCUCUGGUCUGUAACUGACGCUGAGGCUCGAAAGCGUGGGGAGCGAACAGG